AAUCAAAAUUGUUUAUUGCACACAAGGCAAACAUUUAUACUGUGUUGGUGCCCUCACACUGCACCAAGAAGCCAUGCACAGAGAUUUAUUUCUCUUUCUC
rnacentral:lncRNA from 1 species